UCCUUUCUCGGUGCUGGAGGGCGGGCCGUCCCGGCGAUUUGCAGGCGACGCGCAGGCCGUGGCGAACACGCGGAUCGAUUGGCGUGAAACGCCGGAGGCGCACAUCUUCAAAGCGGACCUGCCUGGGCUGAAGAAGGAAGAGGUGAAAGUGCGAGUGGUGGAGGGGAGGACGCUGGAGAUCAGCGGCGAGAGGAAGAAAGAGGAGGUGCAGAAGGGCGAUACCUGGCACCGGGUGGAGCGUGCGCAGGGCAGUUUUAUGCGACGGUUCCGGCUGCCGGAGGGCACCAACACGGACGAAGUGAAGGCGCAGGUGCAGGACGG
rnacentral:lncRNA from 1 species